rnacentral:rRNA from 1 species
GGUCCUGCGGAAGGAUCAUUACAAGUGAGGCUACCGAACGUUGGAAACAGCGGUUAGGAGCUUACACCCACCCGUGUCUAUAUACUAUUGUUGCUUUGGCGGGCCGUGGCCUCCACUGCGGGCUCUGCUCGUGUGUGCCCGCCAGAGAACCAAACUCUGAAUGUUAGUGAUGUCUGAGUACUAUCUAAUAGUUAAAACUUUCAACAACGGAUCUCUUGGUUCUGGCAUCGAUGAAGAACGCAGCGAAAUGCGAUAAGUAAUGUGAAUUGCAGAAUUCAGUGAAUCAUCGAAUCUUUGAACGCACAUUGCGCCCUGUGGUAUUCCGCAGGGCAUGCCUGUUCGAGCGUCAUUUAACCACUCACGCCUAGCGUGGUAUUGGGGCACGCGGUCUCCGCGGCCCUCAAAAUUAGUGGCGGCGCCGGUGGGCUCUAAGCGUAGUACAUACUCCCGCUAUAGAGUUCCCCCGGUGGCUCGCCAGAACCCCCAAUUUUUACAGGUGACCUCGGAUCAGGUAGGUCCGUCCC